ensembl:lncRNA
CAGGGUUAGACAGGGUUAGACAGGGUUAGACGGGGUUAGACAGGGUUAGACAUGGUUAGACAGGGUUAGACGGGGUUAGACAGGGUUAGACGGGGUUACACAGGGUUACACAGGGUUAGACAGGGUUUUGCAGAUGGAGACAGGGUUAGACAGGGUUAGACAGGGUUAGACGGGGUUAGACAGGAUUAGACAGGGUUUUACAGAUGGAGACAGGGUUAGACGGGGUUAGACAGGGUUAGACGGGGUUACACAGGGUUAGACGGGGUUACACAGGGUUACACGGGGUUAGACAGGGUUAGAGGGUUAGACAGGGUUAGACGGGGUUACACAGGGUUAGACGGGGUUACACAGGGUUAGACAGGGUUAGACAGGGUUAGACAGGGUUAGACAGGGUUAGACAGGGUUAGACAGGGUUAGACAGGGUUUUACAGAUGGAGACAGGGUUAGACAGGGUUAGACAGGGUUUUACAGAUGGAGACAGGGUUAGACAGGGUUAGACAGGGUUACACAGGGUUAGACAGGGUUUUACAGAUGGAGACAGGGUUAGACAGGGUUAGACGGGGUUAGACAGGGUUAGACAGGGUUAGACGGGGUUAGACAGGGUUAGACAGGGUUUUACAGAUGGAGACAGGGUUAGACAGGGUUAGACAGGGUUAGACAGAUGGAGACAGGGUUAGACAGGGUUAGACGGAGUUAUACAGGGUUAGACAGGGUUAGACUGAGUUAGACAGGGUUAGAGGGUUAGACGGGGUUAGACAGGGUUAGACAGGGUUAGACGGGGAUAGACGGGGAUAGACGGGGUUAGACAGGGUUAGACAGGGUUAGAGGGUUAGACAGGGUUAGAGGGUUACACGGGGUUAGAUGGGGAUAGACGGGGUUAGAUGGGGAUAGACGGGUUUAGACAGGGUUAGACUGAUGGAGAGGGAAAUAAUAGCAAUGGGGAAGAGAAUGGAGGGAAGAGAGAGAGAGAAGGAGAGAGAGAGAGUGAGAGAGAGGGGUGGGGAAGGAGAGAGUGUGAGAGGAGAGAGAGCGAGAGAGGGGGCUGGGGGGAGAGAGAGCACAG